rnacentral:rRNA from 1 species
UACGAAGGGGGCUAGCGUUGCUCGGAAUUACUGGGCGUAAAGCGCACGUAGGCGGUCUUUUAAGUCGGGGGUGAAAGCCCAGGGCUCAACCCUGGAAUAGCCUUCGAUACUGGAUGUCUUGAGUUCGGGAGAGGUGAGUGGAACUCCGAGUGUAGAGGUGAAAUUCGUAGAUAUUCGGAAGAACACCAGUGGCGAAGGCGACUCACUGGCCCGAUACUGACGCUGAGGCGCGAAGGCGUGGGGAGCAAACAGG